CUUCUUUCUUAUUCUCUCUUUGUUCUUUUGUUUGUUUUCUUUUAAUUCCCUUUUCUUCCAUUUCUUAUUUAUAUUAGCUUAGUUUAAUAAAUUCUUUCAUCUUUUCAUUAGCCUAGCAUCUGUUACAUAUACAUGAGCCUUUCCACAAAAUUCCAUGAAGAACAAAUGAUCUUAGCUAUGAAAACUAGGCAAUACCUGGAAUCAUGAUCAUGUACUCCAAGAAUGAUGAAAUUCCAUUUCUCUUGUUUUGCUUUUAAUUAUGUCGUGUGAUUAGGAAUAGUUGUGUCUAGAGUUGAUUUCUAAAAGAAAAACAAAGCUUUGAUACUCAUGAUUUGAAGGGAUAAUCAUGUUGAAACUCAUAGUCAUGAAUAUUUAGUUGAUAAUGUCUAACUAAAAUUUGAUUCAAGCUGUUAAUUUCCAAACUUAAGCUUAAUUUAAACAAACUUCCGAUCCCCUGUACUCUAGUUCAUACUGAUGCAUUACUUUCCUCACUUAACUAUAUAUUCUUCUCUAUAAUCAUUCGGUUUAUUUCCUCUCUCAUUUCUUACCUUUUAAUUUUAAUGCAAAUGAUUUCAUAUCUAAACCAAUUUAGGAACCCGUAGACAAACUGGAACAUGAUACUUAAUAUGUAUUUUGUUUGCAUGAUCUUAAGUCAUAUACACGCUUAAAAAUAUACAUAGGAAACAAAUGACAUACAAGUUUCUUUAUUAAUAAUACUGUGUUUGAUUUCUAUAUAUUUCUAGUAUAUGAACUUGAAUUUACUUUAACACUUUAAAGACUAUUAAUUAUAAGUAUAGUUAGUUAAGAAAUAGUUGUUUUUGAUGAGUGAAUAGGUAUCAUAGAAGAAGGUGAUCGCUCAGGUUAUUUUUGAAAGCUCUGAGGUAAGGGGAAUCGCUAAUAAUAAGUUUCGAUGAGCACAAGAAAUGUGUUACUUGUAUAUAUAUUAUUAGUUAUAACUAGGGGUGUUGUGUACUUUAUAUAGUAAUUUAUAUUCAUUAAGGUAUAUGCAAAAUGUUAAAUGAUGAGUGAUUGAUUUUAGUUUGAUUAUAUGUGUGAAUAAAUCUUCUGCAAUAUAUGAUUUGAAAAUGUUCAUGUGUUUGAGUGUUAUGGUGAAAAAUUGAGGUGAUCUCAUAAGUUGUAUGGUGAGUUUAGAAGAUUAAUAUGUCUAAGUUAGAUAUUGACAAAGACAAAUUAAGUUGAAGAAUUAAAUAAUUAAUCACCUUUGAUAGGUGAAGAGCAAAACAGGGUGUUUCUUACAGUACUAUAAUGUAUGUAAGACUGAGGAUAGGUUCGGCUGGGUCGCCUCAAGACCUAAUGGGGAUCACCGGCGUUUUGAACUCCUACCAAUAGUCAGAGAUAGCCACUCUGACUGGAGGAAAUCAUAUAACCCGACGUGGUGAAACCUGACUGUGCAGGACUAUCUAUAAUAAGGUGUAGCGCUCGGGCCAGAAUGGUUGAGACAUAUUUGAUAUAUGUUGAUUUGCAAACAACCAUGUUAUGGCAGUUGAAACGGCCUUACGCUCAUAAUAGAGGUCUCCAUGGAGUAGGUUGAAUAAAGAUAAUACUAACCAAGUUAGAAGACUAACUUUGAGUGAAGAAUUAUGAUUGAAUUUUAUAUACAUUUUAAAUGAUUAAAUUUUGAUGAUUGAUAUAUUGGAUAUAUUUGAUUAUCUUUGUUUUUAACUAAUUGUUGAAUUGUGAUAUUGAUAUAAUGUUUUGUGCAAUUCAUAUUUUUGUGACUAUUUGACUAUACGUGACUAUUUGACUACUUGAUUCUAUUUGAUGUAAAUACAUGAUUAGAUACUCAGGUAUGUAUAUAUACUAGUUAAAUAAAUGUAUAUACUUGUAUAAUAUUAUGUGUAGCCUUGUGACAUCAUCACGAUGGUAACUUGUGUACGAGUGAUUCACCCCUUACAACAGUUAGUGCAGGAUACUAAGACCUCCAGUUGAAGUUCAUUGAGGAAAGGAAAAUGGCAUUGUGAGAGACAUUAAAAUAAAGAACGUUAGUGCUGAUUGGUGGUCUAGUUUUAUUUUUGGAGUCCGAAGAGAAGAUCUCUUUGAUAUGUAUUGAUGAUGUCAUUGGACUGAAUGACAGAUAUCUGUGGUGUUUGAUCAGCUCGUGAUUAUUUGUGGGUUAGAGUCUUUUGUAGGAAUUUAUCUUUUUAUCAUUUUAAAUUGAAAAAUUGUACGAUACUUAUGUGAAUUGGAAAUGUUUUAUAUUUGAAAAUCCUUUGAGCAAAAUUACUAGAUGAUUGUUUAAUAUAAGUGAUGCAUAUUAUUUAUGGGCUUACUUUAAAUUUAUAUAAAGAGAAUUUUGAAAACUUUCUUAAAUAAAAAUAAUAGUACUUAUAUUCGAGAACAUUUCUCACUUAUUACUUUUCCUUUACCAAAAAUAAACCAGCAUAAUUUUAUUUGCUUGUAUUUAAGCAUUUAAAUUUGGGUAGAGAACUGUGACGCUCUUCUUUUCAGUCUCUGAAAAGGGGGUGUUACAAUUAGUGGUAUCAGAGCUGGUCGAGUCUUUCGGGAGUCUUUGGGGAAUAGGUUCAUGAUGCUUUUGUUGUGUCAUAUAUGUUUGCUUUUGUUAUGUGAUCUUUGUUUGCUUUUGUGGUGUGAUCUUUGUUCGAACUUGUUGGAUUAAUUGUAGUUAAGAUAAAAGUGUUUUCAUUCUAAGUUUGUAUAUGGGGUAUAAGGAUGGUCUAAUCGUAAUGGAAAUUUUAUGAGUCAUUUUAGUGCAGAUGAUGACAACAUGGAUAUAUGUCGGAAUGAUUAGAACUCCUAAUGGUUAGUCAAUUUUCUUUUUCUAAGUAGACUAAGGAACUACAUUGAAAGGUUUAUAUACUUUAAAUUAUUGAGAAUAUAGUUGGUUGACUAGGAUAGAUAAAUAGAUAAUAAUGGGAUCUAAUGAUUUUUCUAUAUGCAUAAUUAGUUCAUAGAGAAUGAGUAAUAAUAGAGAAUCAGAGAAACAUCUUAGAAUGUUUAGGAAAACAUUAGUUUUAUAUGACUAAUAAUUAUGAUAAUGUUAUGAUAGACUUAGAGUAUAGUAAGAGGUCUUGCUUGUUUGAGAGUCUUAUGGAUUGAAAUUUUACUUCACUAAGAGAAUCAAUGGUCAUAUAUGUAGGUGAUUACGUAGUUCAAGAAUAGGUAACAUUGUGUUAGUUUAUGGCUAGUUGAAUAAUAUGUGAGCAUGGAAUUUAGUAGACUUUAGCGCGGAUGCCAAUUUUUAGAAAUGGUAUUACGAUAAGGAAAAAAAAAACAUAGUAAAUCCUAAAGAAAUUUAAGUAAGAGUUUGUUAAGGUAAAAUUUUAGGGACAUGAGAUUUUGCUUUGCUAGUCUUUGUUUUGAUGGUAUAGGAUUCCUUAUUUUUUUUAGUUAUUAGGCUAACUGCCGCGUUGCUGCAUUUUUGUGGUUAGGUAAGUACAAAUUGAUUGUUUUGGUUUCUAGUAUGGUGUAUUGGUUUUGCUAUGUUUUGUUUGUCAUGCUAUACUUGCACAAUUUUUGUUUCUUGUUGUGUUUCCCCUAUUAUAAACACUUAUUGUAGUUAUGUAAGAAUUAUUAUAAAUAAAAUUGUGUUGUUUCAAAAUUUUAAGAAAAUAAAUAAAUUAAGACUCAUAAUUAAGGUUAAUUAUGUUAAAAUUGGAAGAGUGUGUCUAUGAUCAAUUUUACUUUGGAGUAAGUUAUGUGAAACAAACUAGUUCUAUAGAAUGAACCAAUACAAGACUACUAGAGUAAAUUUUAGAAUUGAUGAAAUAUGAUUAUUUUGAUAAGUGAAAAUAAAAUAUAUUUUACCAUGAGUUUGAGGUAUUUGAUUGUGGUGUAUUUUAGAAAGUUUAAUUUUAGUUAUUAAGAAUAUGAUUGAAUACUUUUAGUUGGAAAUUAUAGCACACACUUGCUGCAAAUAUAAAUAGAUUAUCUUUCAAAAGAAAAAGUAUGAGUAGAUUUUAUUUUAGAAAAGAAAAAGUGAGUAGAUUUAGAGUUAGUUGUAAGAACUAUAGUUGACAAAAGAAUUUCUAUUGGAUAGUAUGGUUAAGGGAAGAUAUCUAAGUAAGUAUGAAGACUUGAGCUUCAAGUAAUGAUAUAGUAAAUAAUAAGUUUUGAGGAGAGUCAAACAAUAUAAGUGGAGGUUUUAAUAUCGAAAUGGUGUUGUGGUUUAAGUUGAGUGGUUCACUUUGGAAUAGUGGAGAAUAUAUAGGAGGUAUAUAUUAAUCCUAUGAACUUCUUAGAAGAAGAAUCUUUAUUUUAGUUAUGGAUGAAACUUUAGUUUCUACCAAGAUAGAAUUAUAGUAUAAGCAUGACUAAUCUUUUGAUAUAAUUUUAAUUGUAUAGAAAGAGUUUGGGUGGUAUAUAGGAAAAACAUCUCAGCUUAUACAUAAAUUGUCCUACCUUCAGUUGGAUUUGGAUUUUUAUUAGUGGAAAGCAGAUUGGUUUUUUUUUUUUGGAUUUAUCGAUUCUUAGAUUAUAUACCGAGUUUAGGAAGAAAAAGAAAAAAAAAAGAGAAGAAGUUGGAGAAUGAAAAAUAUUGAUUGGAUUAUGAAUUUUGAUUUAGAUAUUAGAAAUUUUCAAUACAUAGAAUUGUGAUUAAUUUUGUAAGUGUAGAAUGAACUUGUGUGGCAUCUAAGUUUGAAAAUUUAGCUUUAUAUAACAAAGAUAAGAAAGUUGAAAGUAUAGUGAUUGGACUAGGAAUUUUAUUUGUAGAUUAGAAAAUUGCUAGACUUAGAAACGUAGUUAGGAUAAGAUAUGAAUAGAUAUUUUGCGCGGAUAAAUAUGAACCCAAAAUUAAUUAUGGAAAUUGAAUUUAUGAGAAUGAAUUUUAUAAGUAGUAUUAAGAAUAGUGAUGGUUAAGUUUUGAUUACACGAUAUGAUGUUUGAAAGACCUAUAUCUAAUGCUAAGAAUAGGAAAUAGUACUAUGGUCGUUGAUAUUCAAUGUCAAGAAAGGUAAUGGUAAUAUGAUUUUAGUGUUAAGAUAAAUGAUUUUUUUAAAGAUUAUUAAUAGUAGACUAGAAAUAGUGAAGUCAAAUUUUUUAUGAUAAGUUUACUAGGUAGGUAUGGCCGUACUUGAAGUUGGAUCUUUUUGGGGUAAGUUUAGAUUUUAAAUGUGUAUAAAAGAAAAUUUUUAAGUUUUGAUUGUAACUUUAGCAAGGCUAUAGAAAAUCAUAGGAACAUGAUAUAUUAAAAGUUAAGUCUAUUAUAAUUAUCAAAUGAAUUCUUAGAGAAGUAUCUAUAUUUAUUAUUAUUAUUAUUGGUAAGGAGAUUAUGUACAUAUGCUUUUAAUUAUAUAAUUUGAAGUAACUAAAUUUCUGUAAUUAUAAGAUAGUUGUCAUAAAUUUCGAGGACGAAAUUUUUUUAAGAGGGGUAGUAAUGUAACACCCCAAAUUUUAUAAACUAAUAUUUUCUUUAUAUUAUUAAUUUAAGUAUUUUUAUAAAAUAAAUUUGAUGAUUUAGUUAUAUUUUCACAAUAGUAUACAAUAUCAUGUUAGUCCUAGUUACGUGUCUAAAGUGUGAGAAUGUUUAAAUAAUUAUUUUCUUGGAAAUGAACUUUAGAUAAAGAAAACUUAUAGAUCUAAUCUAUUAAUUUAAUGAAAGCUAUGGUUUAAAUUUCAGAACUAGUAGUGUAAAAGUAUAAACCCUUAAAAAUAAAUAGUUUAUAAAAAUAUUGUGAUACCUAAUGUUUCCGAAUUAUUUUAGGUGUGCUUUGAUAGUAUUUUUACCUUGUGUAGACUGAUAAUUAAUAUUUUUUCUAGACUGUGAGUUUAACAAAAGUAAUUUUAGAAAUCAAUCAUAAAAUAUUUUAGUAGGCUAUGAUAAAAGUUUGGGCUUAAAAUUCUACCGAAUUUCGAACAGUAGUUUACUCAACAGUAUAAAUUUUUAUCCCAGAAAAAGAAAAGAAAAAUAUUUUUGAGAUCACAAAAAUAUCUACGUAAAGAUAGUGUCAUUAAUUUUAUCAUUCAUGUUAUUAAAAUAAAAUGAAAAAAAAAAUUAAAUAAAAGUUAAGAGAUAAGAAUAACACAUAUGCAUGAAAUGGUGGCUUAAUUUUCCUCCACAAGUAUAAGUGAAAACGUGGGCUUAAGUGAAAGUAAAAACGUGGUUUAACUUUCUACACAAAUGGAAGUGAAAAUGUGGUCUCCUAAUUGUCCACACAAAUCAUUCAAACUCUCCUAUAAAUAGCAACCAUCUCCUCACUAAUUCUUCACACCAGCUCUGCUCUCCCUCUCUGCAUACAAUUGAAGUAUCAUAGAAGAAGGUGAUCGCUCAGGUUAUUUUUGAAAGCUCUGAGGUAAGGGGAAUCGCUAAUAAUAAGUUUCGAUGAGCACAAGAAAUGUGUUACUUGUAUAUAUAUUAUUAGUUAUAACUAGGGGUGUUGUGUACUUUAUAUAGUAAUUUAUAUUCAUUAAGGUAUAUGCAAAAUGUUAAAUGAUGAGUGAUUGAUUUUAGUUUGAUUAUAUGUGUGAAUAAAUCUUCUGCAAUAUAUGAUUUGAAAAUGUUCAUGUGUUUGAGUGUUAUGGUGAAAAAUUGAGGUGAUCUCAUAAGUUGUAUGGUGAGUUUAGAAGAUUAAUAUGUCUAAGUUAGAUAUUGACAAAGACAAAUUAAGUUGAAGAAUUAAAUAAUUAAUCACCUUUGAUAGGUGAAGAGCAAAACAGGGUGUUUCUUACAGUACUAUAAUGUAUGUAAGACUGAGGAUAGGUUCGGCUGGGUCGCCUCAAGACCUAAUGGGGAUCACCGGCGUUUUGAACUCCUACCAAUAGUCAGAGAUAGCCACUCUGACUGGAGGAAAUCAUAUAACCCGACGUGGUGAAACCUGACUGUGCAGGACUAUCUAUAAUAAGGUGUAGCGCUCGGGCCAGAAUGGUUGAGACAUAUUUGAUAUAUGUUGAUUUGCAAACAACCAUGUUAUGGCAGUUGAAACGGCCUUACGCUCAUAAUAGAGGUCUCCAUGGAGUAGGUUGAAUAAAGAUAAUACUAACCAAGUUAGAAGACUAACUUUGAGUGAAGAAUUAUGAUUGAAUUUUAUAUACAUUUUAAAUGAUUAAAUUUUGAUGAUUGAUAUAUUGGAUAUAUUUGAUUAUCUUUGUUUUUAACUAAUUGUUGAAUUGUGAUAUUGAUAUAAUGUUUUGUGCAAUUCAUAUUUUUGUGACUAUUUGACUAUACGUGACUAUUUGACUACUUGAUUCUAUUUGAUGUAAAUACAUGAUUAGAUACUCAGGUAUGUAUAUAUACUAGUUAAAUAAAUGUAUAUACUUGUAUAAUAUUAUGUGUAGCCUUGUGACAUCAUCACGAUGGUAACUUGUGUACGAGUGAUUCACCCCUUACAACAGUUAGUGCAGGAUACUAAGACCUCCAGUUGAAGUUCAUUGAGGAAAGGAAAAUGGCAUUGUGAGAGACAUUAAAAUAAAGAACGUUAGUGCUGAUUGGUGGUCUAGUUUUAUUUUUGGAGUCCGAAGAGAAGAUCUCUUUGAUAUGUAUUGAUGAUGUCAUUGGACUGAAUGACAGAUAUCUGUGGUGUUUGAUCAGCUCGUGAUUAUUUGUGGGUUAGAGUCUUUUGUAGGAAUUUAUCUUUUUAUCAUUUUAAAUUGAAAAAUUGUACGAUACUUAUGUGAAUUGGAAAUGUUUUAUAUUUGAAAA